rnacentral:tRNA from 1 species
CAGAUAUUAGUUUAAUAAAAAUAUUAAUUUUGGAGAUUAAUGAUAGGGUGUAAUCUAUAUCUGA